rnacentral:rRNA from 1 species
CGGGGUGCACCAGGCGCGAAAACUUUACAAUGCCGGCAACGGCGAUAAGGGAACCUCGAGUGCCAGGUUACAAAUCUGGCUGUCGUGAUGCCUAAAAAGCAUUGCAUGGCAAGAGCCGGGCAAGACCGGUGCCAGCCGCCGCGGUAACACCGGCGGCUCGAGUGGUAACCGUUAUUAUUGGGUCUAAAGGGUCUGUAGCCGGCCGGGUAGGUCUCUUGGGAAAUCUGGCAGCUUAACUGUCAGGCUUUCAGGAGAUACUGCCUGGCUCGAGGCCGGGAGAGGUGAGAGGUACUUCAGGGGUAGGGGUGAAAUCUUGUAAUCCUUGAAGGACCACCAGUGGCGAAGGCGUCUCACCAGAACGGACCUGACGGCAAGGGACGAAAGCUAGGGGCACGAACCGGAUUAGAUACCCGGGUAGUCCUAGCCGUAAACGAUACUCGCUAGGUGUCGGCCACGGUGCGACCGUGGUCGGUGCCGUAGGGAAGCCGUGAAGCGAGCCACCUGGGAAGUACGGCCGCAAGGCUGAAACUUAAAGGAAU